rnacentral:rRNA from 1 species
UACGAGGGGGGCUAGCGUUGCUCGGAAUUACUGGGCGUAAAGCGCACGUAGGCGGACUCUUAAGUCAGGGGUGAAAUCCUGGAGCUCAACUCCAGAACUGCCUUUGAUACUGGGAGUCUUGAGUUCGGGAGAGGUGAGUGGAACUGCGAGUGUAGAGGUGAAAUUCGUAGAUAUUCGCAAGAACACCAGUGGCGAAGGCGGCUCACUGGCCCGAUACUGACGCUGAGGUGCGAAAGCGUGGGGAGCAAACAGG